rnacentral:rRNA from 1 species
GAAUAUUGGACAAUGGGGGGCACCCUGAUUCCGCCAUGCCGCGUGCGUGAAGAAGGCAUUUUGGUUGUUAAGCACUUUAAGCGAGGAGGAGGACACUCUAGCUAUUACCUCGGGCUAGUGGACGUUACUCGCAGUAUCAGCACCGGCGAAGUCUGUGCCAGCAUCCGCGGUAACACAGAGGGUGCAAGCGUUAAUCGGAUUUAAUGGGCGUAAAGCGCGCGUAGGUUGCCAAGUAAGUCAAGUGUGAAGUCCCCGAGCUUAACUUGGGAAUUGCAUUCGAUACUGGUUGGCUAGAGUAUGGGAGAGGAUGGUAGAAUUCCAGGUGUAGCGGUGAAAUGCGUAGAGAUCUGGAGGAAUACCGAUGGCGAAGGCAGCCAUCUGGCCUAAUACUGACACUGAGGUGCGAAAGCAUGGGGAGCAAACA